GAUGAACGCUGGCGGCGUGCCUAAUACAUGCAAGUCGAGCGAACAGACGAGGAGCUUGCUCCUCUGACGUUAGCGGCGGACGGGUGAGUAACACGUGGAUAACCUACCUAUAAGACUGGGAUAACUUCGGGAAACCGGAGCUAAUACCGGAUAAUAUAUUGAACCGCAUGGUUCAAUAGUGAAAGACGGUUUUGCUGUCACUUAUAGAUGGAUCCGCGCCGCAUUAGCUAGUUGGUAAGGUAACGGCUUACCAAGGCAACGAUGCGUAGCCGACCUGAGAGGGUGAUCGGCCACCCUGGAACUGGGACACGGUCCAGGCUCCUACGGGAGGCAGCAGUAGGGAAUCUUCCGCAAUGGGCGAAAACCUGACGGAGCAACGCCGCGUGAGUGAUGAAGGUCUUCGGAUCGUAAAACUCUGUUAUUAGGGAAGAACAAAUGUGUAAGUAACUAUGCACGUCUUGACGGUACCUAAUCAGAAAGCCACGGCUAACUACGUG
rnacentral:rRNA from 1 species